rnacentral:lncRNA from 1 species
AUUUAGGCACCUGAUACCAUCAAACACCUGUGAAAAUCCCACUCCUAAUGGCUACACCUUCACCUAGGUGCUUCUGCUGGAAGGAGAGCUUUUUUCAUUAAGCAGAGAGCUGGAACACUUCAUAACAGAUGAAGCUGCUACAACUUGCCUUCCUUUCUCCCAGAGCUGCGCAGCCUCUGCUGCCAGAAGCGCUCUUCCAUUGUAGCGCAUGCAGCAGGUGACACAGUGUUGACCUGAAAAAACAUAGAAGACCCUCGUUAAUUACCUGUGCAGGUGACACCAGACUGGAAGAGCUAAGGAUUAUGAAGAUAAGGUAGGAGAAAGUUAAUGUUUUUAAUUAAUAUGCAGUCAGUAGAGGAAAGAGCAUGAGAGGAUGAAUACUUAGGGCUGUGAUGACAGAGUGGGAGACUGUGCCUGGGAAACUCUAAGAACAUAACUUGGUGUUAAUUUUCUGGAUAGACAGCAAAAAACAUCUUCUGUGUCUAACAUCGUCCAUUUGACUUAAUGACAUCCUUUUAAGAUGUUAACUGUUAGAUUUAUGAGCAAGGAAACUUAAAGUACAGAGAAUGUCGUAGCAAAUACAGUUGGGAAUUCUCUGCAGCAAGGACUGGAAUGAUUAUUUCUGGUGUCUUAUGUUUGUAGGCCAUUAUGAGAUACUGACAUGUAGAAAAGAGAAAAAGGGUGAAUCAAGCCUAUGCAUCAAAGCUCUCAAAGUGGCACUAUGAGGUGAUUAGUCUACCAUCACAGUUCUACUUUUUUCAUUAUUUGUAGUAGAAAAGUGUCGAAUUAGGGAAUUCAAGUUUAAAAUAAGUAAGUGGAGUGAAAUUGUUCUUAAUGGCAGCCUAACUGCAAUUUUCUGGAUGUUUCCCAAUUUUAUUAUGUUACCAC